rnacentral:misc_RNA from 1 species
AAGUCGUAACAAGGUUUCCGUAGGUGAACCUGCGGAAGGAUCAUUAACACGUAUCCAAACGUUAAAACCCCCCCCGUGAACCUUCAUCCUGCUCUUGUAACCCGCGUAGUUCGCAAUCUCUGAUAAAUCAUAGCCCGGAAAGUUGUAGUGAUUCAGAGACCUCUGGCUACGUGCGAACAUUGGAACAGUUACAAUCGAGCGGUAGUUCUUGUGCAAGGAUAGCGCUUCUACGAUUCCUGUAGACCGUACACUCGGGCAGGAGCUUUGCCAAAGGGUCCCCAUGCCCCCUAAUAACCCCACAGUUUAAUGUGAAGCUCAAUGUAAUACAUUGGGUAAAAAAACCGAACAACUGUUAACAAUGGAUAUCUUGGUUCUC